GGCAAUGAUGAUCAGUGCUAUAUUUCUUUCUGACACCUCUUGUAUGAGAAGAACCUUAAAACAGUUCUUCCUUGAGCACAGUUAGCAACUCUCUGAGCC